GUGGGGAAUUUUGGACAAUGGGCGCAAGCCUGAUCCAGCAAUGCCGCGUGCAGGAAGAAGGCCUUCGGGUUGUAAACUGCUUUUGUACGGAACGAAACGGUCCGGGUUAAUACCCUGGGCUAAUGACGGUACCGUAAGAAUAAGCACCGGCUAACUACGUGCCAGCAGCCGCGGUAAUACGUAGGGUGCUAGCGUUGCUCGGAAUUACUGGGCGUAAAGCGUGCGCAGGCGGUUUUGUAAGACAGGCGUGAAAUCCCCGGGCUCAACCUGGGAAUUGCGCUUGUGACUGCAAGGCUGGAGUGCGGCAGAGGGGGAUGGAAUUCCGCGUGUAGCAGUGAAAUGCGUAGAUAUGCGGAGGAACACCGAUGGCGAAGGCAAUCCCCUGGGCCUGCACUGACGCUCAUGCACGAAAGCGUGGGGAGCAAACAGGAUUAGAAACCCGUGUAGUCC
rnacentral:rRNA from 1 species